GGAUGCGAUCAUACCAGCACUAAAGCACCGGAUCCCAUCAGAACUCCGAAGUUAAGCGUGCUUGGGCGAGAGUAGUACUAGGAUGGGCUGACCUCGUAGGAACGUCCUCGUGCUUGCAUCCU
rnacentral:rRNA from 1 species